UUGAACGCUGGCGGCAUGCCUUACACAUGCAAGUCGAACGGUAGAGUAGCAAUACUUGAGAGUGGCGAAACGGGUGAGUAAUAUAUCGGAACGUGCCCAGUCGUGGGGGAUAACGUAGAGAAAUUUACGCUAAUACCGCAUACGAUCUAAGGAUGAAAGCGGGGGAUCGCAAGACCUCGCGCGAUUGGAGCGGCCGAUAUCAGAUUAGGUAGUUGGUGAGGUAAAGGCUCACCAAGCCGACGAUCUGUAGCUGGUCUGAGAGGACGACCAGCCACACUGGGACUGAGACACGGCCCAGACUCCUACGGGAGGCAGCAGUGGGAAUUUUGGACAAUGGGCGCAAGCCUGAUCCAGCAAUGCCGCGUGCAGGAUGAAGGCCUUCGGGUUGUAAACUGCUUUGUACGGAACGAAACGGUGAGCUCUAAUACAGUUUGCUAAUGACGGUACCGUAAGAAUAAGCACCGGCUAACUCCGUG
rnacentral:rRNA from 1 species